GGCUUGCCAAAACCAGAGUUUCUGACAAGGCAGGGAUGUCCCCGGCUGGUUUCAUCAUCAGAACAGCAUUUUCCAGCGGUUUCUCUAGCAGUGAGGUGGCGAGAAAGAAAGCAUAGCAGCUCAGAAUAUAAGGAGGAUUAGAAGAGUGCAUUGCCUAAGAAGGCAUCCUCGUCCUGUUUGCAGCUAUGUCAAGAGAUCCCACACAUAGAAGUUUUCUGUGCCCCACGUAUGAGCUCUUUCCCUUAUGCAAGCAAGCCAAGACAGGACUGGCGUGAGUGGGAUGGAGGUUUUGGGACCACACCUAGCUCACAGAAACUUGAUUUGGAGCCAGCUGUGGUGUACGCCAAUAAAACCUGCAAUCAGUGACAGCUUUCAUCCCAAAUGUGUCCGGGCUGACUUCCCUUUCAAAAUAAUGGAGGAUGAGACUGCAAGCAGGUCUCUCAGUGAAACACUACUCCCACACUCAGUCUCCCGAAAGCCUCCAUAUUCUGUCUCUUUGGUAUUAAAAGAGAUGCGGUGUUCUUCACUUCUGUCCUCCAGUAUAAGCAGCUGUCAGGACUUCUGCAAUGUGAGGCGCUGGCACAGCUGCCCAGAGAAGCUGUGGUGCCCCAUCCCUGGAGGCGCUCAAGGCCACGUUGGAUGGGGCCCUGGGCAGCCUGAGCUGGUGGGGGCAGGUGUUGGGGUGGGUGGGCUUUGAGGUCCCUCAACCAUUCUAUGAUUCCAUGAUUUCUGCAAUAAAGAUGCAAAACCAAAGGAGAACAGCUGCAAGUGAACAGUGGAAGACACACGAUGCUUCAGAUGCUUCAGGCUGCAAUAGCGGAAGCCCACACUGCCCCAGGAAUCACCUGAGGAGUUUGGGCUUUGCAAGGCUAGAAGAGAGACCAACAGUAGACACACAGACAGGGGCUGUGGGAAGUAUUCAGCAGGCAGCGCUCUCCCUUCAGGAUAUCAAAAGAGUGCAAUUCUCAUCAUUGUCUGAAGGAGAUGCAUUACCAGGGCUCUAGCUGCUUCUGCUGCUGAUGGAAGAUAUGAAAGCAUUUUUCACAAGCUAUGCACAUGCCCCAGCCAUGUCCCCACUGAGUAAAUGCUUUCACUCUGCCUAAUUCCUUCUCACAGUUCCCACAGAACAUGGCAUUUUUCACUGCCUCACCCCAACUGUUGUGCAGCAUCAUUCUGUGCUUCCAAACAUCUGACACGUCAUCUCUGUGAUGGAUGAAAGUGUUUGCACAGAUUAUGCAGGUGCCUUGGAGGCUCUGGAGCUAAAGCCUAUCUAGCUCUGAAAUUGUAAAGCGUGCUCUAUGUUCCUGGAGAUGCAUGUAAAAAUGAGUGCAUUCUAAAGCUGAACCGUGUUAAAAUUCAAGUGGAGCACGACUUCUCUGGGUGACUCACACCAGCCACAUCAUUUGCUUCCUCCACUGAACGCUAUCAGGUGUUCCAGUUACUACCAAGUUCCUCCAGUCCGGAACACUGAGGCUCUGCUUGCCUAUGGAAGCCUUUUGCUCCCCUAGCACUUGUUAAUCUGCAAUACAAAAUUGGCACGGGGCAGUUUUACAUAAUCUGGCUGUAAAAUGCAGCUUCAAUGGCAAAGCAAUAGAUAAAACCGAAAACCUCAGUCAUGGAGGGGAGCCCAGAGGAAAGUGUCUGGGGACAGCUCAGCACCAUAAGAAUUACCUGUGGAGAAGAAAUGUUUGCAUGUCCUCUCCAUCCCGGCUACUUGAAGUGCAGGGCAGUGGGAACACUGUGCAGGCACUACAGUUGUACAUCUUCACUGACCUGGUGUCUGUCUUUCGCUGUCCUGGAAAGCCAUCAACUCCCUUUUGCAGUUCUCCUUUUAG
ensembl:lncRNA